rnacentral:tRNA from 1 species
AUUAUUUUGACAGAUUAUGUAAUAAAUUUAGAAUUUAUUUAAAUAGAUAAUUAUCUAUAAAUAAUA